rnacentral:rRNA from 1 species
GAUGAACGCUGGCGGCGUGCCUAAUACAUGCAAGUCGAGCGAACAGACGAGGAGCUUGCUCCUCUGACGUUAGCGGCGGACGGGUGAGUAACACGUGGAUAACCUACCUAUAAGACUGGGAUAACUUCGGGAAACCGGAGCUAAUACCGGAUAAUAUAUUGAACCGCAUGGUUCAAUAGUGAAAGACGGUUUUGCUGUCACUUCUAGAUGGAUCCGCGCCGCAUUAGCUAGUUGGUAAGGUAACGGGUUACCAAGGCAACGAUGCGUAGCCGAACUGAGAGGGGGAUCGGCCACACUGGAACUGAGACACGGUCCAGACUCCUACGGGAGGCAGCAGUAGGGAAUCUUCCGCAAUGGGCGAAAGCUUGACGGAGCAACGCCGCGUGAGUGAUGAAGGUCUUCGGAUCGUAAAACUCUGUUAUUAGGGAAGAACAAAUGUGUAAGUAACUAUGCACGUCUUGACGGUACCUAAUCAGAAAGCCACGGCUAACUACGUG